AUCAUAAGGAGGAACAAUCAGGCAGUGACUCAAUGGCUAAUUCAGUGGAAGAAUUUUAACAAGGAAGACGCAACGUGGGAAGACGCGACUAGAAUUCAAGAACGCUAUCCACUCUUUCAACCUUGGGGACAAGGUCAUUUCGAGGGGGGGUAUGUGUCAAACCAAGAAAAUGAGAUUGCUGUUAGAAUAGAAGCGUCUACCCGAGCCAAUAUGCUGUGAAUAAUGUUCCAAAUUAUCCAUUGAAUUUCAGAAUUUUUUCUCAUUCAUCAUUUUAUGCCAUUGCACUCCAU
rnacentral:lncRNA from 1 species